CCCCUCUCAGGGUGGCAGCUGGAGAGUUUCCAGUACUCUACCAGCCUCGGCUACGGGAGGGAGAGUCAAGCAGAGGCCUGUCCGUUCCAUUCCUAGCUUGGGCAGUGGCUAGCGAGUGGCAGGCCAUCGGCUACAAGU